AGAGUUUGAUCCUGGCUCAGAAUGAACGCUGGCGGCGUGCUUUACACAUGCAAGUCGAGCGAGGCGGCCCGCAAGGGUCAGUCGAGCGGCGAACGGGUGAGUAACGCGUGGAUAACCUGCCCUGAGGUGUGGAACAACCAGGGGAAACUCUGGCUAAUACCGCAUGAUACCGAGAGGUCAAAGGGGGGCCGCAAGGUCUCUCGCCACAGGAGGGGUCCGCGUCCGAUUAGCUAGUUGGUAGGGUAAUGGCCUACCAAGGCGACGAUCGGUAGCCGGCCUGAGAGGGUGAUCGGCCACACUGGAACUGAGACACGGUCCAGACUCCUACGGGAGGCAGCAGUGGGGAAUUUUGCGCAAUGGGCUAACGCCUGACGCAGCAACGCCGCGUGGAGGAUGAAGGUCUUUGGAUUGUAAACUCCUGUCAGCGGGGAAAAAGCAACCGGUGCUCAUACCAUCGGAAGUUGAUUGUACCCGCAGAGGAAGCCCCGGCUAACUCUGUGCCAGCAGCCGCGGUAAUACAGAGGGGGCAAGCGUUAUUCGGAAUUAUUGGGCGUAAAGGGCGCGUAGGCGGCUUGGCAAGUGGAAGGUGAAAUCCCUCGGCUUAACCGAGGAACUGCCCUCCAAACUGCUUUGCUUGAGGCCGGGAGAGGCGAGUGGAAUUCCCAGUGUAGUGGUGAAAUGCGUAGAUAUUGGGAGGAACACCAGUGGCGAAGGCGGCUCGCUGGACCGGUUCUGACGCUGAGGCGCGAAAGCGUGGGGAGCAAACGGGAUUAGAUACCCUAGUAGUCC
rnacentral:rRNA from 1 species